rnacentral:rRNA from 1 species
GGGUCAGUAGGUUGGUCGUGCCACCGGUACGUACUGGUCUCACUGAUUCCUCCUUCCUGAAGAACCGUAAUGCCGUUAAUUUGGUGUUGCGGGGAAACAGGACUGUUACUUUGAAAAAAUUAGAGUGUUUAAAGCAAGCUAACGCUUGAAUACAUUAGCAUGGAAUAAUGAAAUAGGGCGAUCGAUCCUAUUUUGUUGGUUUCUAGGAUUGACGUA